rnacentral:lncRNA from 1 species
UUUGUUAACCCAUGUUGAGCUUAUAUCCCAUUUUAUUUAUUAUUGUUUUACCACCUCAUGAACUAAUGGCCUAAAAUACUUCUCUACACUAUUCACAAUAUUAUCUUUUCUUUUUGAAUAUGUGUUUCAUUCUAAGCUUGAGGUUGUUGUUGGAAUAACAACCUUUAAGUUUUGGGUAGUUGUACAGUAAUACUAAAAGGUGAGCACACUUGAAGAAAAAAAGAGAAAAGAGAAAAAAAGAUUUAAAGAAAAAAAGAGAGAAAAUAUAUACAAAGGAGCACCCACCAUAAAGAGAACUAAGUUGAAAAAUUGAGAAGUCCAGACCAGCUAACCAAAGAAAAGAAUGUUUAAGAAAUUUCAGCAGUGAUACUUUGGAGUGAUCAUAGUGAAAAAAAUCAUGGAAAUGCUUUGAACCAUUAGCCUACUUAUCCAUAUAUUAUCCCACCUUAGCCCUAGCC